rnacentral:lncRNA from 1 species
UCACUUUGUUGCCCAGCUGGUCUUGAACUCCUAGCUUUUUUCUGAAUUUUAUACUUAAGCAAUUUUUGACAAAUAAUUGUGAAGCCUUCAGAAUGAUUUUUUAAAUUAAUUUGUAACUACUAGCCAUCUUACAAAAUCAAGUGUGAGAGAAAUGACAUAGCAACUUCUGUACCCAUACUAGCAUCAGCCUCGAGGUAGAGGUGGACAGCCCAGAAGGGUGCCGCCCUGUGUGCCCAGCUUGGCAGCUGCAGGUGCGGGGUGGUUACUUGAUCUCCUCAGCCUGACAGGGUGGCUUUGGAUGUGGCAUCCCUGAGGCCAUGGUUAUCUCCUCCUGGAAGCUUGUUUCUAGCUUCCCAUGAUGAGAGAGACUCUGCUAGCAACUGGGACCCAGCACUGUGCCACUGUGUUCUAGGAGGAAAGGCAGGGCCCUGGAGCACGGGGCCACCCACCUGCACCAGGAGCAGUCUUGGAGGCCUAGGCGGGCGGAUCACUUGAGGUCAGGAGUUUGAGACCAGCCUGGCCAACAUGGUGAAACCCCAUCUCUAUUAAAAAUACAAAAAAAUUAGCCUGGCAUGGUGGCAGGCACCUGUAAUCCCAGCUACUCGGGAGGCUGCGGCA